UACAGAGGUCCCAAGCGUUGUUCGGAUUCAUUGGGCGUAAAGGGUGCGUAGGUGGCGUGGUAAGUCGGGUGUGAGAUUUCGGAGCUUAACUCCGAAACUGCAUUCGAUACUGCCGUGCUUGAGGACUGGAGAGGAGACUGGAAUUCCCGGUGUAGCGGUGAAAUGCGUAGAUAUCGGGAGGAACAUCAGUGGCGAAGGCGGCCCUCUGGUCCAGUACUGACACUCAAGUGCGAAAGCGUGGGGAGCAAACAGG
rnacentral:rRNA from 1 species